rnacentral:rRNA from 1 species
UGCCAGCCGCCGCGGUAAUACGGAGGGUGCAAGCGUUAAUCGGAAUUACUGGGCGUAAAGCGCACGUAGGCGGAAAAUUAAGUUAGAUGUGAAAUCCCAGGGCUUAACCUUGGAACUGCAUCUAAUACUGGUUUUCUAGAGUAUGGGAGAGGCAAGUGGAAUUUCCGGAGUAGCGGUGAAAUGCGUAGAUAUCGGAAGGAACAUCAGUGGCGAAGGCGGCUUUCUGGACCGAUACUGACGCUGAGACGCGAAAGCGUGGGGAGCAAACAGGAUUAGAUA